UACGUAGGGUGCAAGCGUUGUCCGGAAUUAUUGGGCGUAAAGAGCUCGUAGGCGGUCUGUCGCGUCUGCUGUGAAAACUCGAGGCGUUAACCCUGAGCUUGCAGUGGGUACGGGCAGACUAGAGUGGCGGUAGGGGAGACUGGAAUUCCUGGGUGAUAGCGGUGAAAUGGGCAGAUAUCUGGAGGAACACCAGUGGCGAAGGCGGCCGACUGGGCCGAUCCUGACGCUGAGACCCGAAAGCCAGGGUAGGCGAACCGG
rnacentral:rRNA from 1 species